rfam:Triticum aestivum genome assembly, contig: Triticum_aestivum_CS42_TGACv1_scaffold_591917_7BS
CUACUACUCCAUCCAUCCCAAAAUUAUUGUCUUAGAUUUGUCUAAAUACAGAUGUAUCUAGUUACGUUUUAGUGUUAGAUACAUCCGUAUCUAGAAAAAUCUAAGACAAGAAUUUUGGGACGGAGGGAAUACCUU